rnacentral:rRNA from 1 species
UACGGAGGGUGCGAGCGUUGUCCGGAAUCAUUGGGCGUAAAGGGCGCGUAGGUGGCCUGGUCAGUUCGUGGUGAAAGCGCGGGGCUCAACCCUGCGUCGGCCAUGAAUACUGCCGCGGCUGGAGCACUGUAGAGGCAGGCGGAAUUCCGGGUGUAGCGGUGGAAUGCGUAGAGAUCCGGAAGAACACCGGUGGCGAAGGCGGCCUGCUGGGCAGUUGCUGACACUGAGGCGCGACAGCGUGGGGAGCAAACAGG